rnacentral:rRNA from 1 species
CGGAGGGUGCAAGCGUUGUCCGGAUUUAUUGGGUUUAAAGGGUGCGUAGGCGGGCCUUUAAGUCAGUGGUGAAAGCCGACAGCUUAACUGUCGAAAUGCCAUUGAUACUGGCGGUCUUGAGUACAGUAGAGGUAGGCGGAAUUGAUGGUGUAGCGGUGAAAUGCAUAGAUACCAUCAAGAACACCGAUUGCGAAGGCAGCUUACUAUAGUGUAACUGACGCUGAGGCACGAAAGUGUGGGGAUCAAACAGGAUUAGAUACCCUGGUAGUCCACACUGUAAACGAUGGUCACUCGCUGUUGGCGAUAGACAGCCAGCGGCUUAGCGAAAGCGAUAAGUGAUCCACCUGGGGAGUACGCUCGCAAGAGUG